rnacentral:rRNA from 1 species
GAUCCUGGCUCAGGACGAACGCUGGCGGCGUGCUUAGCACAUGCAAGUCGAACGAAGAGCGAUGGAAGCUUGCUUCUAUCAAUCUUAGUGGCGAACGGGUGAGUAACGCGUAAUCAACCUGCCCUUCAGAGGGGGGACGAACAGUUGGAAACGACUGCUAAUACCGCAUACGAUCUGACCUCGGCAUCGAGGAUGGAUGAAAGGUGGCCUCUAUUUAUAAGCUAUC